CUGCGUAAACCCGGCUGGGUAA
rnacentral:misc_RNA from 1 species